GACGUAGGGCGCGAGCGUUGUCCGGAUUUAUUGGGCGUAAAGAGCUCGUAGGCGGUCUGUCGCGUCGGCUGUGAAAUCCCGAGGCUCAACCUCGGGUCUGCAGUCGAUAAGGGCAAACUAGAGUAUUGCAGGGGAGACUGGAAUUCCUGGUGUAGCGGUGAAAUGCGCAGAUAUCAGGAGGAACACCGGUGGCGAAGGCGGGUCUCUGGGCAAUAACUGACGCUGAGGAGCGAAAGCGUGGGGAGCGAACAGG
rnacentral:rRNA from 1 species